GGUUAAGCGACUAAGCGUACACGGUGGAUGCCCUGGCAGUCAGAGGCGAUGAAGGACGUGCUAAUCUGCGAUAAGCGUCGGUAAGGUGAUAUGAACCGUUAUAACCGGCGAUUUCCGAAUGGGGAAACCCAGUGUGUUUCGACACACUAUCAUUAACUGAAUCCAUAGGUUAAUGAGGCGAACCGGGGGAACUGAAACAUCUAAGUACCCCGAGGAAAAGAAAUCAACCGAGAUUCCCCCAGUAGCGGCGAGCGAACGGGGAGCAGCCCAGAGCCUGAAUCAGUGUGUGUGUUAGUGGAAGCGUCUGGAAAGGCGCGCGAUACAGGGUGACAGCCCCGUACACAAAAAUGCACAUGCUGUGAGCUCGAUGAGUAGGGCGGGACACGUGGUAUCCUGUCUGAAUAUGGGGGGACCAUCCUCCAAGGCUAAAUACUCCUGACUGACCGAUAGUGAACCAGUACCGUGAGGGAAAGGCGAAAAGAACCCCGGCGAGGGGAGUGAAAAAGAACCUGAAACCGUGUACGUACAAGCAGUGGGAGCCUCUUUAUGGGGUGACUGCGUACCUUUUGUAUAAUGGGUCAGCGACUUAUAUUCUGUAGCAAGGUUAACCGAAUAGGGGAGCCGAAGGGAAACCGAGUCUUAACUGGGCGUUAAGUUGCAGGGUAUAGACCCGAAACCCGGUGAUCUAGCCAUGGGCAGGUUGAAGGUUGGGUAACACUAACUGGAGGACCGAACCGACUAAUGUUGAAAAAUUAGCGGAUGACUUGUGGCUGGGGGUGAAAGGCCAAUCAAACCGGGAGAUAGCUGGUUCUCCCCGAAAGCUAUUUAGGUAGCGCCUCGUGAACUCAUCUCCGGGGGUAGAGCACUGUUUCGGCAAGGGGGUCAUCCCGACUUACCAACCCGAUGCAAACUGCGAAUACCGGAGAAUGUUAUCACGGGAGACACACGGCGGGUGCUAACGUCCGUCGUGAAGAGGGAAACAACCCAGACCGCCAGCUAAGGUCCCAAAGUCAUGGUUAAGUGGGAAACGAUGUGGGAAGGCCCAGACAGCCAGGAUGUUGGCUUAGAAGCAGCCAUCAUUUAAAGAAAGCGUAAUAGCUCACUGGUCGAGUCGGCCUGCGCGGAAGAUGUAACGGGGCUAAACCAUGCACCGAAGCUGCGGCAGCGACGCUUAUGCGUUGUUGGGUAGGGGAGCGUUCUGUAAGCCUGUGAAGGUGUACUGUGAGGUAUGCUGGAGGUAUCAGAAGUGCGAAUGCUGACAUAAGUAACGAUAAAGCGGGUGAAAAGCCCGCUCGCCGGAAGACCAAGGGUUCCUGUCCAACGUUAAUCGGGGCAGGGUGAGUCGACCCCUAAGGCGAGGCCGAAAGGCGUAGUCGAUGGGAAACAGGUUAAUAUUCCUGUACUUGGUGUUACUGCGAAGGGGGGACGGAGAAGGCUAUGUUGGCCGGGCGACGGUUGUCCCGGUUUAAGCGUGUAGGCUGGUUUUCCAGGCAAAUCCGGAAAAUCAAGGCUGAGGCGUGAUGACGAGGCACUACGGUGCUGAAGCAACAAAUGCCCUGCUUCCAGGAAAAGCCUCUAAGCAUCAGGUAACAUCAAAUCGUACCCCAAACCGACACAGGUGGUCAGGUAGAGAAUACCAAGGCGCUUGAGAGAACUCGGGUGAAGGAACUAGGCAAAAUGGUGCCGUAACUUCGGGAGAAGGCACGCUGAUAUGUAGGUGAAGCGACUUGCUCGUGGAGCUGAAAUCAGUCGAAGAUACCAGCUGGCUGCAACUGUUUAUUAAAAACACAGCACUGUGCAAACACGAAAGUGGACGUAUACGGUGUGACGCCUGCCCGGUGCCGGAAGGUUAAUUGAUGGGGUCAGCGCAAGCGAAGCUCUUGAUCGAAGCCCCGGUAAACGGCGGCCGUAACUAUAACGGUCCUAAGGUAGCGAAAUUCCUUGUCGGGUAAGUUCCGACCUGCACGAAUGGCGUAAUGAUGGCCAGGCUGUCUCCACCCGAGACUCAGUGAAAUUGAACUCGCUGUGAAGAUGCAGUGUACCCGCGGCAAGACGGAAAGACCCCGUGAACCUUUACUAUAGCUUGACACUGAACAUUGAGCCUUGAUGUGUAGGAUAGGUGGGAGGCUUUGAAGUGUGGACGCCAGUCUGCAUGGAGCCGACCUUGAAAUACCACCCUUUAAUGUUUGAUGUUCUAACGUUGACCCGUAAUCCGGGUUGCGGACAGUGUCUGGUGGGUAGUUUGACUGGGGCGGUCUCCUCCUAAAGAGUAACGGAGGAGCACGAAGGUUGGCUAAUCCUGGUCGGACAUCAGGAGGUUAGUGCAAUGGCAUAAGCCAGCUUGACUGCGAGCGUGACGGCGCGAGCAGGUGCGAAAGCAGGUCAUAGUGAUCCGGUGGUUCUGAAUGGAAGGGCCAUCGCUCAACGGAUAAAAGGUACUCCGGGGAUAACAGGCUGAUACCGCCCAAGAGUUCAUAUCGACGGCGGUGUUUGGCACCUCGAUGUCGGCUCAUCACAUCCUGGGGCUGAAGUAGGUCCCAAGGGUAUGGCUGUUCGCCAUUUAAAGUGGUACGCGAGCUGGGUUUAGAACGUCGUGAGACAGUUCGGUCCCUAUCUGCCGUGGGCGCUGGAGAACUGAGGGGGGCUGCUCCUAGUACGAGAGGACCGGAGUGGACGCAUCACUGGUGUUCGGGUUGUCAUGCCAAUGGCACUGCCCGGUAGCUAAAUGCGGAAGAGAUAAGUGCUGAAAGCAUCUAAGCACGAAACUUGCCCCGAGAUGAGUUCUCCCUGACCCUUUAAGGGUCCUGAAGGAACGUUGAAGACGACGACGUUGAUAGGCCGGGUGUGUAAGCGCAGCGAUGCGUUGAGCUAACCGGUACUAAUGAACCGUGAGGCUUAACCUUACAACGCCGAAGCUGUU
rnacentral:rRNA from 1 species